rnacentral:rRNA from 1 species
GACGAACGCUGGCGGCGUGCCUAAUACAUGCAAGUAGAACGCACAGUUUAUACCGUAGCUUGCUACACCAUAGACUGUGAGUUGCGAACGGGUGAGUAACGCGUAGGUAACCUGCCUGGUAGCGGGGGAUAACUAUUGGAAACGAUAGCUAAUACCGCAUAAUAUUGAUUAUUGCAUGAUAAUUGAUUGAAAGAUGCUAUUGCAUCACUACCAGAUGGACCUGCGUUGUAUUAGCUAGUAGGUGAGGUAACGGCUCACCUAGGCGACGAUACAUAGCCGACCUGAGAGGGUGAUCGGCCACACUGGGACUGAGACACGGCCCAGACUCCUACGGGAGGCAGCAGUAGGGAAUCCUCGGCAAUGGACGAAAGUCUGACCGAGCAACGCCGCGUGAGUGAAGAAGGUUGUCGGAUCGUAAAGCUCUGUUGUAAGAGAAGGACGGGUGUGAGAGUGGAAAGUUCACACUGUGACGGUAUCUUACCAGAAAGGGACGGCUAACUACGUG